UUUGUACUCCCUCCGUUUGAAAUUAUUUGUCGUAAAAAUGAAUGUAUCUAGAUAUAUUUUAAUUCUAGAUACAUCCAUAUCCGAGACAAAUAAUUCCGAACAAAGGGAGUAUCAC
rnacentral:pre_miRNA from 1 species